rnacentral:rRNA from 1 species
CCUACGGGCGGCAGCAGUAGGGAAUAUUGCUCAAUGGGGGAAACCCUGAAGCAGCAACGCCGCGUGGAGGAUGAAGGUUUUCGGAUUGUAAAACCCUUUUGUUAGAGAAGAUAAUGACGGUAUCUAACGAAUAAGCACCGGCUAACUCCGUGCCAGCAGCCGCGGUAAUACGGAGGGUGCAAGCGUUACUCGGAAUCACUGGGCGUAAAGAGCGCGUAGGCGGGUUAGCAAGUCAGAUGUGAAAACCUAUGGCUUAACCAUAGGACUGCAUUGGAAACUGGUAUUCUAGAGUGUGGGAGAGGUAGGUGGAAUUCGUGGUGUAGGGGUGAAAUCCGUAGAGAUCAAGAGGAAUACUCAUUGCGAAGGCGACCUGCUAGAGCAUAACUGACGCUGAUGCGCGAAAGCGUGGGGAGCAAACAGGAUUAGAUACCCGAGUAGUC